GGCAGCGAUGAUGAAUGGAAAGGCGUAGGCGAAGGAAGGCGACGCGGAGUGGCACGUCUCCUCGCGCUCCUUCGCCGACCUCGGUCUCCACCCCACCCUCUGCGCUCGCCUCCAAGUCCAAGGAGGCUCCUCAUCUGGUCUGAGCAAGUAGGUAAAAGCAGGGAAGCAUACACCCUUUUUAUUUGCAGGAGGCUCCUCAUCUGGUCUCAGCAAGUAGGUAAAAGCAGGGAAGCAUACACCUUGGUUGUUAUUAAGAAGCAGCACGAUCAGAUCAGAAGCUUUGGGAAGGAGGGAGGGAGGUGUCCGUGGUAUCGAUGUAAACUAAGUCUUUUGUUCCCAACAGAUAGCCAUGGUGAUUGUGACAGAGGAUGCUCUAGAUUGCAACAAUUAUCAUAUCGGUUAAUCCUAGGCCUGGCUACGCGCCGGACAUGUAAAAAAAGAAUGUCAUAUCUGACCAUCAAUCUAAUUCUAGGGA